rnacentral:rRNA from 1 species
GGUAUUUUGACCGUGCAAAGGUAGCAUAAUCAAUAGUUUUUUAAUUGAAAGCUGGAAUGAAAGGUUGGAUGAGAAAUAAGCUGUCUCUAUUUAAUUUUAUUAGAAUUUUAUUUUUAAGUUAAAAAGCUUAAAUUUUAAUAGAAGACGAGAAGACCCUAUAGAGUUUUAUUUAUUUAUUUAAUAAGUUUAUUAGUAUAGAUUGUUUUUAUUCAAAAAAUAAAUUUAGUUGGGGUGAUUGAAAAAUUUAAUAAACUUUUUAUAUAUUUACACAUUAAUAUAUGAUUACUUGAUCCUUAGUUUAAGAUUAAAAGAUAAAAUUACCUUAGGGAUAACAGCGUAAUUUUUUUUGAGAGUUCUAAUCGAAAGAAAAGAUUGCGACCUCGAUGUUGGAUUAAAAUAAAAUUUUGGUGUAGAAGCUAAAA